AGUUUGAUCCUGGCUCAGGACGAACGCUGGCGGCGUGCUUAACACAUGCAAGUCGAACGGUAAGGCCCCUUCGGGGGUACACGAGUGGCGAACGGGUGAGUAACACGUGGGUAAUCUGCCCUGCACUUCGGGAUAAGCCUGGGAAACCGGGUCUAAUACCGGAUAUGAACUCCUGCCGCAUGGUGGGGGUUGGAAAGUUUUUCGGUGCAGGAUGAGCCCGCGGCCUAUCAGCUUGUUGGUGGGGUAAUGGCCUACCAAGGCGACGACGGGUAGCCGGCCUGAGAGGGUGAUCGGCCACACUGGGACUGAGACACGGCCCAGACUCCUACGGGAGGCAGCAGUGGGGAAUAUUGCACAAUGGGCGAAAGCCUGAUGCAGCGACGCCGCGUGGGGGAUGACGGUCUUCGGAUUGUAAACCCCUUUCAGUAGGGACGAAGCGCAAGUGACGGUACCUGCGGAAGAAGCACCGGCUAACUACGUGCCAGCAGCCGCGGUAAUACGUAGGGUGCGAGCGUUGUCCGGAAUUACUGGGCGUAAAGAGCUCGUAGGCGGUUUGUCACGUCGUCUGUGAAAUCCCUCGGCUUAACCGGGGGCGUGCAGGCGAUACGGGCAGACUUGAGUACUACAGGGGAGACUGGAAUUCCUGGUGUA
rnacentral:rRNA from 1 species